CCUACGGGUGGCAGCAGUGAGGAAUAUUGGUCAAUGGGCGCGAGCCUGAACCAGCCAAGUAGCGUGAAGGAUGACUGCCCUACGGGUUGUAAACUUCUUUUAUUAAGGAAUAAAGUGAGGCUCGUGUGCCUUUUUGCAUGUACUUUAUCAAUAAAGAUCGGCUAACUCCGUGCCAGCAGCCGCGGUAAUACGGAGGAUCCGCGCGUUAUCCGGAUUUAUUGGGUUUAAAGGGAGCGUAGAUGGGUUGUUAAGUCAGGUGUGAAAGUUUGCGGCUCAACCGUAAAAUUGCAAUUGAUACUGGCAGCCUUGAGUACAGUUGAGGUAGGCGGAAUUCGUGGUGUAGCGGUGAAAUGCUUAGAUAUCACGAAGAACUCCGAUUGCGAAGGCAGCUUACUAAACUGCAACUGACAUUGAUGCUCGAAAGUGUGGGUAUCAAACAGGAUUAGAUACCCUUGUAGUC
rnacentral:rRNA from 1 species